AUUGAACGCUGGCGGCAGGCCUAACACAUGCAAGUCGGACGGUAGCACAGAGGAGCUUGCUCCUUGGGUGACGAGUGGCGGACGGGUGAGUAAUGUCUGGGGAUCUGCCCGAUAGAGGGGGAUAACCACUGGAAACGGUGGCUAAUACCGCAUAACGUCGCAAGACCAAAGAGGGGGACCUUCGGGCCUCUCACUAUCGGAUGAACCCAGAUGGGAUUAGCUAGUAGGCGGGGUAAUGGCCCACCUAGGCGACGAUCCCUCGCUGGUCUGAGAGGAUGACAAGCGACACUGGAACUGAGACACGGUCCAGACUGCUACGGGGGGCAGCAGUGGGGAAUAUUGCACAAUGGGCGCAAGCCUGAUGCAGCCAUGCCGCGUGUAUGAAGAAGGCCUUCGGGUUGUAAAGUACUUUCAGCGGGGAGGAAGGCGGUGAGGUUAAUAACCUCGCCGAUUGACGUUACCCGCAGAAGAAGCACCGGCUAACUCCGUGCCAGCCGCCGCAGUAA
rnacentral:rRNA from 1 species